rnacentral:misc_RNA from 1 species
GAUGAAGAACGUAGCGAAAUGCGAUAAGUAAUGUGAAUUGCAGAAUUCAGUGAAUCAUCGAAUCUUUGAACGCACAUUGCGCCCGCCAGUAUUCUGGCGGGCAUGCCUGUCUGAGCGUCAUUUCAACUCUCAUGCCCCUAGGGCGUGGUGUUGGGGAUCGGCCAAAGCCCGCGAGGGACGGCCGGCCCCUAAAUCUAGUGGCGGACCCGUCGUGGCCUCCUCUGCGAAGUAGUGAUAUUCCGCAUCGGAGAGCGACGAGCCCCUGCCGUUAAACCCCCAACUUUCCAAGGUUGACCUCAGAUCAGGUAGGAAUACCCGCUGAACUUAAGCAUAUCAAUAAGCGGAGGA